GAUGAACGCUGGCGGGGUGCCUAAUACAUGCAAGUCGAGCGAGCAGAUGAGAAGCUUGCUUCUCUGAUGUUAGCGGCGGACGGGUGAGUAACACGUGGGUAACCUACCUAUAAGACUGGGAUAACUCCGGGAAACCGGGGCUAAUACCGGAUAAUAUUUUGAACCGCAUGGUUCAAUAGUGAAAGACGGUUUCGGCUGUCACUUAUAGAUGGACCCGCGCCGUAUUAGCUAGUUGGUAAGGUAACGGCUUACCAAGGCGACGAUACGUAGCCGACCUGAGAGGGUGAUCGGCCACACUGGAACUGAGACACGGUCCAGACUCCUACGGGAGGCAGCAGUAGGGAAUCUUCCGCAAUGGGCGAAAGCCUGACGGAGCAACGCCGCGUGAGUGAUGAAGGUCUUCGGAUCGUAAAACUCCGUUGUUAGGGAAGAACAAAUUUGUUAGUAACUGAACAAGUCUUGACGGUACCUAACCAGAAAGCCACGGCUAACUACGUGCCAGCCGCCGCAGUAA
rnacentral:rRNA from 1 species